AUUGAACGCUGGCGGAAUGCUUUACACAUGCAAGUCGAACGGCAGCACGGGGCAACCUGGUGGCGAGUGGCGAACGGGUGAGUAAUACAUCGGAACGUGCCCAGUCGUGGGGGAUAACGUAGCGAAAGUUACGCUAAUACCGCAUACGAUCUAUGGAUGAAAGCGGGGGAUCGCAAGACCUCGCGCGAUUGGAGCGGCCGAUGUCAGAUUAGGUAGUUGGUGGGGUAAAGGCCUACCAAGCCGACGAUCUGUAGCUGGUCUGAGAGGACGACCAGCCACACUGGGACUGAGACACGGCCCAGACUCCUACGGGAGGCAGCAGUGGGGAAUUUUGGACAAUGGGCGCAAGCCUGAUCCAGCCAUUCCGCGUGCAGGAUGAAGGCCUUCGGGUUGUAACUGCUUUUGUACGGAACGAAAGGACUCUGGUUAAUACCCGGGGCUCGAUGACGGUACCGUAAGAAUAAGC
rnacentral:rRNA from 1 species